CAAGUACUCCCUCCGUCCGGAAUUACUUGUCAUCAAAAUGGAUGUGUCUAGAACUAAAAUACAUCUAGAUACAUCCAUUUCAAUGACAAGUAUUUUCGGACGGAGGGAGUACAAG
rfam:Triticum aestivum genome assembly, contig: Triticum_aestivum_CS42_TGACv1_scaffold_194909_3AL